rnacentral:misc_RNA from 1 species
GUCGUAACAAGGUAGCCGUAUCGGAAGGUGCGGCUGGAUCACCUCCUUUCUAGAGAUGACGAAGCCGGAUUCGAUCAAGGUCGAAUCGAGAGCCAAGUCCACAAUGCCUGAAUUCAGCGCGCCCACACUUAUCGGCUGUAGAACACAACAGUGUGACAAACCUCAAUCUCAGUGAUGGGCUUGAGGUUUGUCAGUCUUGAAGAAGGCUGUUGUUCUUUAACAAUUUGUAGAGUCGAAUCAGCGUUGUCCGCGGAAAGCACUGAGGUGCACCGUGCCGCGGACAACAUUUGAUUGCGUCACCAGACUUCAACUCUGAUUAGUCAGAGAGUAAUUGAAGAACGGCAUAACGUGAAUACUCAAAACAGUCCAAGAAAGAAGUUGGACUGCAGUCCUUGACGACAUCAAGCGAUGUCAAAGUUAUAGGGUCAAGUGACUAAGUGCAUGUGGUGGAUGCCUUGGC